ensembl:misc_RNA Y_RNA Y RNA
GGCUGGUCUGAAGGUAGUGAGUUAUCUCAAAUGAUUGUUCACAGUCAGUUACAGAUCCAACUCCUUGUGCUAUUCUUUCCCCUCUUCUCACUACUGCACUUGACUAGUCUUAA